rnacentral:rRNA from 1 species
CCAUGGGCAGGUUGAAGGUUGGGUAACACUAACUGGAGGACCGAACCGACUAAUGUUGAAAAAUUAGCGGAUGACCUGUGGCUGGGGGUGAAAGGCCAAUCAAACCGGGAGAUAGCUGGUUCUCCCCGAAAGCUAUUUAGGUAGCGCCUCGUGAACUCAUCUCCGGGGGUAGAGCACUGUUUCGGCUAGGGGGCCAUCCCGGCUUACCAACCCGAUGCAAACUGCGAAUACCGGAGAAUGUUAUCACGGGAGACACACGGCGGGUGCUAACGUCCGUCGUGAAGAGGGAAACAACCCAGACCGCCAGCUAAGGUCCCAAAGUCAUGGUUAAGUGGGAAACGAUGUGGGAAGGCCCAGACAGCCAGGAUGUUGGCUUAGAAGCAGCCAUCAUUUAAAGAAAGCGUAAUAGCUCACUGGUCGAGUCGGCCUGCGCGGAAGAUGUAACGGGGCUAAACCAUGCACCGAAGCUGCGGCAGCGACACUCAGGUGUUGUUGGGUAGGGGAGCGUUCUGUAAGCCUGCGAAGGUGGCCUGUGAGGGUUGCUGGAGGUAUCAGAAGUGCGAAUGCUGACAUAAGUAACGAUAAAGCGGGUGAAAAGCCCGCUCGCCGGAAGACCAAGGGUUCCUGUCCAACGUUAAUCGGGGCAGGGUGAGUCGACCCCUAAGGCGAGGCCGAAAGGCGUAGUCGAUGGGAAACGGGUUAAUAUUCCCGUACUUGGUGUUACUGCGAAGGGGGGACGGAGAAGGCUAUGUUGGCCGGGCGACGGUUGUCCCGGUUUAAGCGUGUAGGUGUGUGUUCCAGGUAAAUCCGGUUCACUUUAACACUGAGGCGUGAUGACGAGGCACUACGGUGCUGAAGCAACAAAUGCCCUGCUUCCAGGAAAAGCCUCUAAGCAUCAGGUAACAUCAAAUCGUACCCCAAACCGACACAGGUGGUCAGGUAGAGAAUACCAAGGCGCUUGAGAGAACUCGGGUGAAGGAACUAGGCAAAAUGGUGCCGUAACUUCGGGAGAAGGCACGCUGACACGUAGGUGAAGUGAUUUACUCAUGGAGCUGAAGUCAGUCGAAGAUACCAGCUGGCUGCAACUGUUUAUUAAAAACACAGCACUGUGCAAACACGAAAGUGGACGUAUACGGUGUGACGCCUGCCCGGUGCCGGAAGGUUAAUUGAUGGGGUCAGCGCAAGCGAAGCUCCUGAUCGAAGCCCCGGUAAACGGCGGCCGUAACUAUAACGGUCCUAAGGUAGCGAAAUUCCUUGUCGGGUAAGUUCCGACCUGCACGAAUGGCGUAAUGAUGGCCAGGCUGUCUCCACCCGAGACUCAGUGAAAUUGAACUCGCUGUGAAGAUGCAGUGUACCCGCGGCAAGACGGAAAGACCCCGUGAACCUUUACUAUAGCUUGACACUGAACAUUGAGCCUUGAUGUGUAGGAUAGGUGGGAGGCUUUGAAGUGUGGACGCCAGUCUGCAUGGAGCCGGCCUUGAAAUACCACCCUUUAAUGUUUGAUGUUCUAACGUGGACCCGUGAUCCGGGUUGCGGACAGUGUCUGGUGGGUAGUUUGACUGGGGCGGUCUCCUCCUAAAGAGUAACGGAGGAGCACGAAGGUUGGCUAAUCCUGGUCGGACAUCAGGAGGUUAGUGCAAUGGCAUAAGCCAGCUUGACUGCGAGCGUGACGGCGCGAGCAGGUGCGAAAGCAGGUCAUAGUGAUCCGGUGGUUCUGAAUGGAAGGGCCAUCGCUCAACGGAUAAAAGGUACUCCGGGGAUAACAGGCUGAUACCGCCCAAGAGUUCAUAUCGACGGCGGUGUUUGGCACCUCGAUGUCGGCUCAUCACAUCCUGGGGCUGAAGUAGGUCCCAAGGGUAUGGCUGUUCGCCAUUUAAAGUGGUACGCGAGCUGGGUUUAGAACGUCGUGAGACAGUUCGGUCCCUAUCUGCCGUGGGCGCUGGAGAACUGAGGGGGGCUGCUCCUAGUACGAGAGGACCGGAGUGGACGCAUCACUGGUGUUCGGGUUGUCAUGCCAAUGGCACUGCCCGGUAGCUAAAUGCGGAAGAGAUAAGUGCUGAAAGCAUCUAAGCACGAAACUUGCCCCGAGAUGAGUUCUCCCUGAGACUUUAGGUCUCCUGAAGGAACGUUGAAGACGACGACGUUGAUAGGCCGGGUGUGUAAGCGCAGCGAUGCGUUGAGCUAACCGGUACUAAUGAACCGUGAGGCUUAACCUUACA